CCUUCGAUAGCUCAGUUGGUAGAGGGGUUGACUGUAGAUGUUUACAACAAUCAUCCCUAGUCACCGGUUCGAAUCCGGUUCGAAGGA